AUGGACAAGAUCCUGACAGCAUUGGUUUUAGUCCUAGGUCUUCACCUGGCUGGGGUGAGUGGCCAGCAGAAGGAGCAACGUGACCAGCAGCAAGUGAGACAAAAUCCCCAAUCUCUGACAGUCCGGGAAGGAGGAAACAUAGUUCUGAACUGCAGUUAUGAAAACAGCGCUUUUGACUACUUCCCAUGGUACCGGCAGUACCAUGGUACUGGGGAAGGCCCUGCAUUCCUGAUAGCCAUACGAUCAGUGUCCAAUCAAAAGAAAGAUGGAAGAUUCACAGUCUUCUUUAGUAAAAGUGAGAAAAAGUUCUCCUUGCACAUCACAGACUCUCAGCCUGGAGACUCAGCCACCUACUUCUGUGCAGCAAGUGCACAGUGCUCUCCAGGCACCUGCAGCCUAUACUCAAACCUGCAGCUGAGGCUCCAGCAAAGCCCUGCUGUGGGAUGA